AUGAAGGUGUUCUCUGAUCUGUGAAUCAUCCACCCACCAGGCUCCAGACAAGCAGAUACCAAGUAGAUUAUUUUAAAGCAGGAGGGGCCCUGUGGAAUUUUGCUGUGUGCGGUUCCAGCAUUGACCCAAGACUUGAAUCAAGAAAUUGAGAUGCAGUGGGGUUGCACAGAGCAGUGAGGAGCAUCUCCGAGAAGGAACCUUGCUCAGAAAUGGGUUGGAAGAGUUCAUUCAAGGGGUUUGAGUGUCUGCUCUGAAAAUCAAACUUCAACCAAGUUAAUAAGUAGCCCGAAUAAAGGAUUUUGUUGUGAAUUUA